rnacentral:rRNA from 1 species
CAGUAGCCGCGGUAAUACGAAGGGUGCAAGCGUUAAUCGGAAUUACUGGGCGUAAAGCGUGCGUAGGCGGUGAGUUAAGUCUGCUGUGAAAUCCCCGGGCUCAACCUGGGAAUGGCAGUGGAUACUGGCUCGCUAGAGUGUGUCAGAGGAUGGUGGAAUUCCCGGUGUAGCGGUGAAAUGCGUAGAGAUCGGGAGGAACAUCAGUGGCGAAGGCGGCCAUCUGGGACAACACUGACGCUGAGGCACGAAAGCGUGGGGAGCAAACAGGAUUAGAUACCCCUGUAGUCCAUGUCUUCUUAUA